GGGAUAAUGUCUAUACUGGGUCCGUUUUUCCAGGGGGGAAAGUCUAUGCAGGGGGAAAUUCUAUAACACCGGUAUCGGUGGGACAAACAUUAUUAUAAUCACGGCUGUGUUUACAAACGUCAUAUACAGUUUAUAUUUCCACGUAGUUAACAGUUUCGGGACAUUGUUUCCCAUCCGUAUAUACUAUUUCCUUACAGAACAUGUAUCAAUUAGUUGUGUAAAAGUAAAGAAUAAUGCACGAACGUCCUCUCCUGUUGUUUCUCUAGACGUUUGACGUGCUGAGGAGUGCACCUAACAAAACAAGCGGCAUCCACUAUGAGAGAAGGAACUAAGGGAACUUUGGGGAUGGAGAAUUAGAAGAUUACUAGUGUUUUUCCGGGGGACGAGGAUUACUCUGCAGUCAUCUGACUAAACCAUUUCUCAAAACAUUCUCCGAAACAACUUAAUAAACUUAAAAGCACACAUACAAGAAAGAUUUACACCUGGACCUGGUCUGAUAAAAAAGAAACUUACAUAUAGGCCUAACACGUGAAGUACGGAUAACCCCUAGAAGCAACAGGAAGUACGGAUAACCCCUAGAAGCAACAGGAAGUACGGAUAACCCCUAGAAGCAACAGGAAGUACGGAUAAUCCCUAGAAGCAACAAGAUGGGGGAAUCAGAUAUAAGUGGAGGUGCAAUGGGGAGGUAUUUUGGAAAAGGGAAAGUAUACAUCAUGAGAAACGGCCAGUCAAAAUAUAAAAUAGGAUGUUCUGGAGAUCCGGCGAGAAGACUGAAAGAAAUCCAAAGAGAAAGACCAAAUGUCAAACUGUUAUCUACAACAAAGGCCACUGAAAUGAACGGGGCAGAAACAGCUGCCCAAAAAGCCAACAUUAAGAAUGGAAGCAAAAGAGCAACGAAGGUUGCAUCAGACUGGUUUAUAAAACCCAAGAGAAAAUCUUGGGAUCAGAUAAUUAAUACUACAAGGAAUGCAGUAUAUCGACAUAACCGUCAAUGAAAACUCAAGAGGAAAAGUGAAAUCAAAGAAAAGAUAAACCCGACUCUUACCAACACAUAGGGGAAUACCGUGGAAUCAUUUUAAUUCGUGGGGGCCAAUGUAUAGAUAUCUAUAUGUUUAUUUUUCCGCAGUGAUAUCGUGUAUAUAUUUUAUGUCUAUAUUUUAUGUUAUCUUAUCUAUUUUUAUAUUCUCUCAUUUAUCUGUCUGUGAAUAUGUUUUAUACAGGACCACAAUGUAAACUAAUCAUUUGUACUAAUUGUGUUAUCCUGUCUAAAUAAACAAUAUAUUUAUUAUCAUUAUUAUGUUCGUGGGUAAGCAAACUUUUGCUGAUUUGUGGGGAAGUAAUUUCGUGGGUAAGCGAUACGAUGUCACUAGGAGAGAUAACUCCACUUGGUUUACAAAAAUGUUCGAGGACUAGUGAAUUCGUGCGUAAGAGUGACCCACGAAAUCUACGUUCAUCAAUCCCGCAGGAACUCAAAACAAGCCAGUGUUACACAAUUUUUACAAUUUCUCAAAUGGACUUUUUUGUAAUCCAAAUACAAAACCAAUAUCCAUUGUUAGGAAAAAGUUGAAUGAUGUACAUUUAAUCUUCCUCAAUAAAUGUUUCAACAUGA